UACGUAGGUGGCGAGCGUUGUCCGGAAUUACUGGGCGUAAAGGGCGCGUAGGCGGCUCUUUAAGUCAGAUGUGAAAACCCGAGGCUUAACUUCGGGAGUGCAUUUGAAACUGGAGAGCUUGAGUGCAGGAGAGGUAAGUGGAAUUCCUAGUGUAGCGGUGAAAUGCGUAGAUAUUAGGAGGAACACCAGUGGCGAAGGCGACCUACUGGACUGUAACUGACGCUGAGGCGCGAAAGCGUGGGGAGCAAACAGGAUUAGAUACCCUGGUAGUCCACGCUGUAAACGAUGGAUACUAGGUGUGGGAGGUAUCGACCCCUUCCGUGCCGCAGUUAACGCAAUAAGUAUCCCGCCUGGGGAGUACGGCCGCAAGGUUGAA
rnacentral:rRNA from 1 species